AACUAUAAAAGACGAUCUCAGUUCGGACUGCAGGCUGCAACUCGCCUGCACGAAGUUGGAAUUGCUAGUAAUCGUGGAUCAGCAUGCCACGGUGAAUACGUUCCCGGGUCUUGUACACACCGCCCGUCACACCAUGGGAGCCGGUAAUACCCGAAGUCAGUAGUCUAACCGCAAGGAGGACGCCGCCGAAGGCGGGACCGGUAACUGGGGUGAAGUCGUAACAAGGUAUC
rnacentral:rRNA from 1 species